CCUACGGGCGGCAGCAGUGGGGAAUAUUGCACAAUGGGGGAAACCCUGAUGCAGCGACGCCGCGUGAGUGAAGAAGUAUCCCGGCAUGUAAAGCUUUAUCAGCAGGGAAGAAAAUGACGGUACCUGACUAAGAAGCCCCGGCUAACUACGUGCCAGCAGCCGCGGCAAUACGUAGGGGGCAAGCGUUAUCCGGAUUUAUCGGGUUUAAGGGGUGCGCAGGCGGAGUGGCAAGUCAGCGGUCAAAUUGCGGGGCUCAACCCCGUCCUGCCGUUGAAACUGCAUCCCUUGAGUGCGCGAGAGGUAUGCGGAAUGCGUGGUGUAGCGGUGAAAUGCAUAGAUAUCGCGCAGAACUCCGAUUGCGAAGGCAGCAUACCGGCGCGGAACUGACGCUCAUGCACGAAAGCGUGGGUAUCGAACAGGAUUAGAUACCCGAGUAGUC
rnacentral:rRNA from 1 species